UACGAAGGGGGCUAGCGUUGCUCGGAAUGACUGGGCGUAAAGGGCGCGUAGGCGGUGUACACAGUCAGGCGUGAAAUUCCCGGGCUCAACCUGGGGGCUGCGCUUGAUACAUGUAUGCUUGGAGUUCGGAAGAGGGUCGUGGAAUUCCCAGUGAUAGAGGUGAAAUUCGUAGAUAUUGGGAGGAACACCAGUGGCGAAGGCGGCGAUCUGGGAAGAUACUGACGCUGAGGUGCGAAAGCGUGGGGAGGCAAACAGG
rnacentral:rRNA from 1 species